AACACAUGCAAGUCGAACGAGACCUUCGGGUCUAGUGGCGCACGGGUGCGUAACGCGUGGGAAUCUGCCCCUUGGUUCGGGAUAACAGUUGGAAACGACUGCUAAUACCGGAUGACGACUUCGGUCCAAAGAUUUAUCGCCCAGGGAUGAGCCCGCGUAGGAUUAGCUUGUUGGUGAGGUAAAGGCUCACCAAGGCGACGAUCCUUAGCUGGUCUGAGAGGAUGAUCAGCCACACUGGGACUGAGACACGGCCCAGACUCCUACGGGAGGCAGCAGUGGGGAAUAUUGGACAAUGGGCGAAAGCCUGAUCCAGCAAUGCCGCGUGAGUGAUGAAGGCCUUAGGGUUGUAAAGCUCUUUUACCCGGGAUGAUAAUGACAGUACCGGGAGAAUAAGC
rnacentral:rRNA from 1 species